rnacentral:ncRNA from 1 species
UAAUUAACGAAGAAGGAAAGAGUAGAUAUCAUUCGUUUUAUAGAGAUUUCUUGGUUGGUGGAAAAGAAAAGAUGAAGAUAUUCGAACAUGGCUCUGGAGUUAAAAACGGGUAAUUACGUUAUAAAUUUAAGCUGCAUGAUAAAUCAUGAAUUAAGGUGGUACCGCGGGUUUUUCUCGUCCUUUGU